GUUUCUCUGUCACAUCAGACUUCUUCAAGAGCAGAGGAGGAGACGGACGAGGCACUCAGAGAAGGGCAGAAAUCUGCUUCACAGAUGUGCUCAGAAAUGAAUGAACUGAAGAGUUUUACCACCUGGCCCCAAACAAUCACAGGGAGAAGAAUGUUCUAGAAGAGCUUAGGUGGAGGUGGCACUCUAUCUGAGCACAUUCUGCAUCAGUGAGGAUGCCGUCAUCAAAGUUGGGGAGAAGAUCUUCAUUAACGAACAAGAGACCUGACAGAAGUCACCACCUGGAUUCUCGGGACUCAAAG